rnacentral:rRNA from 1 species
ACGAACGCUGGCGGCGUGCCUAAUCCCUGCAAGUCGAGCGGACGAAUCGAAAGCUUGCUUUUGAUUCGUUAGCGGCGGACGGGUGAGUAACACGUGGGCAACCUGCCCUGUAGACGGGGAUAACACCGAGAAAUCGGUGCUAAUACCGGAUAACACGAAAUGUCGCAUGACGUUUCGUUGAAAGACGGCGCAAGCUGUCGCUACAGGAUGGGCCCGCGGCGCAUUAGCUAGUUGGUGAGGUAACGGCUCACCAAGGCGACGAUGCGUAGCCGACCUGAGAGGGUGAUCGGCCACACUGGGACUGAGACACGGCCCAGACUCCUACGGGAGGCAGCAGUAGGGAAUCUUCCGCAAUGGACGAAAGUCUGACGGAGCAACGCCGCGUGAGCGAAGAAGGCCUUCGGGUCGUAAAGCUCUGUUGUUAGGGAAGAACAAGUAACGCAGUAACUGGCGUUACCGUGACGGUACCUAACGAGAAAGCCACGGCUAACUACGU